rnacentral:tRNA from 1 species
AUAAAAUAUUGGUAAUUUAAAUUGAAAAUCCGCGUGUCACUGGUUCAAUUCCAGUUCGGGCCACCA